UACAGAGGUCUCAAGCGUUGUUCGGAUUCAUUGGGCGUAAAGGGUGCGUAGGCGGCGCGGUAAGUCGGGUGUGAAAUCUUGGAGCUUAACUCCGAAACUGCAUUCGAUACUGCCGUGCUUGAGGACUGGAGAGGAGACUGGAAUUUACGGUGUAGCGGUGAAAUGCGUAGAUAUCGGAAGGAACACCAGUGGCGAAGGCGGGUCUCUGGGCCGAGAUUGACGCUGAGGAGCGAAAGCGUGGGGAGCGAACAGG
rnacentral:rRNA from 1 species